CUGUGGAUCCGUACAAAAAACCAGAAAAUUGUAACAUUAGACACCCCGGGCCGCAUCUUUCUCCCCAACUGACCAUCCAAUUUAUGAAUGCAAUCAUGGCUUGCGCAACGCUCAACGCUUCAUCGCCCGGUGUUCGCUUUUCAUU
ensembl:ncRNA C02B4.5 ncRNA